rnacentral:rRNA from 1 species
UACGGAAGGCAGCAGUGGGGAAUAUUGGACAAUGGGCGAAAGCCUGAUCCAGCCAUGCCGCAUGAGUGAAGAAGGCCUUCGGGUUGUAAAGCUCUUUUAGUGAGAAAGAUAAUGACGGUACUCACAGAAGAAGUCCUGGCUAACUCCGUGCCAGCAGCCGCGGUAAUACGGAGAGGGCUAGCGUUAUUCGGAAUUAUUGGGUGUAAAGAGCGCGUAGGCUGAUUAGUAAGUUAAAAGUGAAAUCCCAAAGCUUAACUUUGGAAUUGCUUUUUAAAACUGCUAGUCUAGAGAUUGAAAGAGGAUAGAGGAAUUCCUAGUGUAGAGGUGAAAUUCGUAAAUAUUAGGAGGAACACCAGUGGCGAAGGCGUCUAUCUGGUUCAAAUCUGACGCUGAGGCGCGAAGGGCGUGGGGAGCAAACAGGGAUUAGAUACC